rnacentral:lncRNA from 1 species
GCACGUCCUGUCCCACAACUUCGCUCCUGUUGAUGAGCUUCCUCCUACACCCUGUGAAGUUAUACAAGGAUCCCUCCCGCCUUGCCUUGACGGUGCAUACAUUCGUAAUGGCCCCAACCCUCAGUUCCUCCCUCGUGGACCUUACCACCUGUUCGAUGGUGAUGGUAUGCUUCACUCCAUUCGAAUCUCCAAGGGCAAGGCCACCUUGUGUAGCAGAUAUGUAAAGACGUACAAGUACUCCAUUGAAAACCAAAUGGGUUCUCCCGUUUUCCCCAAUGUUUUCUCCGGCUUUAACGGCCUAACCGCCGCUGCCACUCGCGGUGCUCUCUCCGCUGUCAGAAUUCUAUCCGGUG